rnacentral:miRNA from 10 species
UCACCUAAGUACAUUGUUAAAAAAUGCAGAUUUUCAGCAGCUCUGAGAUUCUGCAUUUGUAGCAUGUUCCUGGGUGAUGGUAA